AUAGCUCGAUUUUCUUUGUAUAAAUUUAAGGUAAGUUCGUAUGUUAAUAAGCAUUAAUGUAAUUGUGUUUUAAAUGCUUUUUAAUUGCAUUAUUGAUUAAUACGACUUCACAAAAAUAUUCGACAAAGAUUUGGCGACGUGUGAAAUCCUGGUUGAACCAUAGGAAUAGAUACGAUACAAAUGACAUGCCAUUAAGGGUUAUUGUGUUUUGGGUGCUGGUUCGUACGUUCUAUCGGUGCUUGAUGGAAUGUGUUGCGGUUA
rnacentral:lncRNA from 1 species